AUCCGGCUGACGAGUCCCAAAUAGGACGAAAUGCGCAUCCUGGAU
rfam:Trichobilharzia regenti genome assembly, scaffold: TRE_scaffold0023675